UUCAAUUUCUAAUUUCCUAAUUCUUCAUGAGAUUUUGUCCCUUGAUUAAAAGAGUCCCGAUAUUUAGACAAGUCGACAGUAGUAACCGACAACCACUUGACAAUCGCGCGCUCCGACGCCAUCAUCGUCAUAGACGCCUUCGCCCUUCCCGUCGAAGGCACCAAAACUCGCGUCAAUGCCCAUUUUUUUUCAUAUUUCUGAAUUCCAUUCAUGUGCUUUUGCAGUAUUAUGCCUUGGAUAUCACUUACUUCAAGUCCUCUCUUGAUUCACACCUGUUGAAUUUGCUGUGGAACAAGUAUUGGGUGAAUAUGUUGUUGUUCCUCUGUUGAGUAAUAGAGAUUAUGUUACUGGACAAAUCUCUGAUUUAGUUAUCCUGUUAUCAGGAAACGGCUGCAAGUUGUUGUGCAUGUUCUUUGCCACUGUCACAUGAUUGAGAGCUGCUGCAGAGUAUGCACUUGGCUUUGGAACCUCAAGAAUAUUUUUGUCAUAUCUGUAAUUUGAGUGAUAUGGGACGAGGAAGGAUAUAUGACUGUGGUUUUUUGUUGCCUACUUACAAUUAUCUAUGUCAUGUUGCCUAUUAUUGAGCGUGCAAAGUUUAAUUUCAACUUUUUGUUGUAUGAUUGGAAUAGUGGAUGUAAAAUUUGAUUUGGGUGGAUUUUUGAGUGAACUCUAACUUGGAAUAGUGAAUUGGUUGGUUUUGUGUCCAUCCUUCUGUGUUGUGAAUGGUAUAACUGGAAACUCUAUCUUUCUUAA